rnacentral:rRNA from 1 species
AGAGUUUGAUCAUGGCUAAGGAUGAACACUGGCGGCGGAGCAAGGUAUGCAAGUUUGAUCUUGGUUUUCGGAACUUAGGGUAAGGACGGGUGAGUAAUGCGUGAUAAUCUGCCUUAAGGAUUGGGACAACAGUGGGAAACCGCUGCUAAUACCAAAUAUGCCUUUUAGUGAAACGGGUAAAACCGCCUUAAGAUGAGCUCGCGUCUGAAUAGCUAGUUGGUGUGGUAAGAGCGCACCAAGGCAACGAUCAGUAGCUGGUCUGAGAGGACGACCAGCCACACUGGGACUGAGACACGGCCCAGACUCCUACGGGAGGCAGCAGUGAGGAAUUUUCCGCAAUGGGCGAAAGCCUGACGGAGCAAUACCGCGUGAGGGAGGAAGGUUCUUGGAUUGUAAACCUCUUUUCUCAGAGAAGAAUAAUGACGGUAUCUGAGGAAUAAGCAUCGGCUAACUCCGUGCCAGCAGCCGCGGUAAUACGGAGGAUGCAAGCGUUAUCCGGAAUGAUUGGGCGUAAAGGGUCUGUAGGUGGUUGUUCAAGUCUGCUGUUAAAGCGUCUGGCUUAACCAGAUAAAGGCGGUGGAAACUGAACGACUAGAGUGCGGUAGGGGUAGAGGGAAUUCCCAGUGUAGCGGUGAAAUGCGUAGAGAUUGGGAA